GGAUGUGAGGGCAAUCUGGCUGCGGCAUCUGUCAUCCCAUUGAUCACCAGGGUUGAUUCAGCUGAUCUGACUGGUUAGGCAGGUGUCCCCUUCCUCCCUCACUGCUCCAUAUGUGUCCCUCCCAAAGCUGAAUGCUCAGUCGAAGAGGAUGACCAUCCCCGAUAGAGGAGGAUCAGUCUUCAGUCAAGGGCAUAUGAGUACCUCCGCUCCCCUGCUAGAAACUCCAAACAAGCUAUCUAUCAUCUAUCUAUCUAUCUAUCUAUCU
rnacentral:sRNA from 1 species